AAUUCUUGAAGGUGUGUCAGGUACAUUGGAUGCACUGUACUAUUCUGUCUACCUUUGUAUAUAUAAUUUAAAGGUUUUUCCCCACAAUUUCUCUGGGAAACCUGAACCUUUCUUCCCCGUGUGUUUAGAAGGGAAGGUGAGGAGAGUCAAAGGCACAUGGAGCAUUAACAGUUGGAAUAAACAACAGAGACACGGAAACCUCCGAGGUUUCCAGAGCGGACCCGGAAAUGACGCCAGGGGAUGCAAACCCUUCUGCCCCUUUUUGCUACCCCUGAAGCUUACUGUUAGUGGUCGAGUUUUUCUGGAAGUGGGCUUCCGCGAUCGCGGGGACCAAAGCCCUGAGCUCUUGUGCCCAAAGGGGAUCGCCAGGUUUUUUGAUGCGGAUCGAAAGGGACUGGCCCCGGAGCCUACAACCUGACGCAGGUGGGACUUGGGGAAAUGUCGAGAAACCUAGGUCUGGGACUUGAGUUGGCUUCCAGGGCACACAUUCUUGUUCAGAAGAAACUCAUUGCAAAAAUCGGGAGGUGACAGGCAGAUGAAGUGUCGGCGCUUCGCCUCGGGACUCCAGUGCAACCUACGGGGCUUUUGGAAAGGAGGAAGUCGAUGACUCUGCAGGGACUCCUCUGACCCAGGAGCAGAUGGCGCUCGUCUGGGCACUCCCCAGGAGAAAAGGUGCAUCGGGAAGCAGCCUGACUUGUGGAUGGUGGACAAGGUGGAGGAGAGAGAAUUCCUUGGCAGCAGCAUUAUGAACAAAUGCAGGGCUGAGAAACAGCAUGGUGGCCUUGACUAAGUUUAUGGCGACAGCAGAUGGAGUCUUGCUCUGUCGCCCAGGCUAGAGUGCAGUGGCGCGAUCUCAGCUCACUGAAACCUCUGCCUCCCGGGUUCAAGUGAUUCUCCUGCCUCCGCCACGCGAUGCCUCUUCAUGGGUGGUGGAUGAAGAAACUGAACAGGGCCAUGAUCCUUAUCUGUAAUUUCCCGGCUACCACACUGCUUUGGUGGUCUUCCCUUGUCUCUUCCUGGGUAGAAACAGAACUACCUGGAGAUCCCAAUGUUCUUGUCAGUGCACUUUUCAUGGACUGCAGUGGUAAGACGAUGUGUUGGAUGCCCAAACACAAACCAAGAGCCCUCUACCUUCGCAAUUCCUGGUGCUGUGGAGCUGUCAGAGUUUUAACAUCUCAACCAAACCACAUGGAUACUAUUUCCUCAGAAAAGACAAAAUUGAUCCAAGCAGAAGAGUGAACUCACCGAAGAGGACUCUCUACCCAUAACUGGGGAUGCCUCAGCCCCUCACACUUACUCCAAGAUUAGUGUCACUGAUUAUGGAAAGAAUUGACUUCUUCCCCUGGUCUUGCUCAUUUUUCUAGAGCCCAGGACAAUAAAUGUGUUUUACGGCAGAGAAAAGUGAAGACGGGUGGAAUUGUGUGUGUUGAGAGAGAAGCAGAUAGGCAAUCUUAUGCUUUGGCUCCUAGAUUAUGCAGGUGCCUCUUUUCUAUCAUCUCCAUAAAUCCUACCCUUACUGCGCUUCCUAUUCUGCAGGGGUAUUUUGUUGUCCGUAACAGAACUCCUCCUCUGUCUGUAAAGUUUAGGUUUUGAUAAAAAAUCCUUUUCCCUCCAGAAGCGUCUACUAAAAAUACAAAAAAAUUAGCCGGGUGUGGUGGCAUCCACCUGUAGUCCCAGUUACUCAGGAGACUGAGGCAGGAGAAUCGCUUGAAACUGGGAGGCGGAGGUCGCAGUGAGCCAAGAUCAUGCCACCGCACUCCAGCCUGGGUGAGAGUGAUACUCCAUCUCAAAAAACAAAUGAACAAUAAAAAACAAACAAAAAAGAAAUAAAUGUCUAGGGCUAGGUGCCAUGGCUCAUGCCUAUAAUCCCAGCAUUUAGGGAGACAUAGGUGGGCAGAUCACUUGAGGUCAGGAUUUCGAGACCAGCUGGACAACAUGACAAAACCCUGUCUCUGUUAAAAAUACAAAAAUUAGCCAGGUUUGGUGGCCCACACCCAUUGGGAGGCUGAGGCAUGAAAGUCACUUGAACCUGUGGAACCUGGGAGGUGGAGGUUGCAGGGAGCCAAGAUCAUGCCACUGCAGAGUUUCGCUCUUGUUGCCCAGGCUGGAAUGCAAUGGCACGAUUUCAGCUUACCACAACCUCUGAGGCACGAGAAUGGCUUGAACCCAGGAGGCGGAGGUUGCAGUGAGCAUCACCCACUGCCAGCCUGCGUGACUGAGCAAGACUGUCUACAAACAACAACAACAACAACAACAACAAACAACCAACCAACAGAAAUUAGAGUUGAGUAGAAAUUUUCAGCAUCACUAAUGAUCAGACAAAUAUAAUAAAACCAAGUGACAG